GACCGCGUAGCUCAGUUGGCAGAGCAUUGGACUAGUAUUCCAAAGGUCGUAGGUUCGAUUCCCACCGUGGUCA
rnacentral:tRNA from 1 species